AGCAAGGUGGAGAAGUGGUCUAUCUCGCCAGCCUCAUUAGCUGGAAUCCGUGGGUUCGAAUCCCGCCCUUGCAACCA
rnacentral:tRNA from 1 species